rnacentral:rRNA from 1 species
UACGUAGGGUGCAGGCGUUAAUCGGAAUUACUGGGCGUAAAGGGCGCGUAGGCGGCCAUCUAAGUCAGACGUGAAAUCCCCCGGCUUAACCUGGGAACUGCGUCUGAUACUGGACGGCUAGAGUAUGGGAGAGGGAUGUAGAAUUCCAGGUGUAGCGGUGAAAUGCGUAGAUAUCUGGAGGAAUACCGGUGGCGAAGGCGGCAUCCUGGACCAUUUACUGACGCUGAGGCGCGAAAGCUAGGGGAGCAAACGGG